rnacentral:rRNA from 1 species
UUGGAGGGCAAGUCUGGUGCCAGCAGCUGCGGUAAUUCCAGCUCCAAUAGCGUAUAUUAAAGUUGUUGCAGUUAAAAAGCUCGUAGUUGAAUUUCGGGAUUAGUACGCUGGUCGUGCCUUCGGUACGUACUGGUGUUACUGAUUUCUACCUUCUGACGAACCAUCAUGUCAUUAAUUUGGUGUGGUGGGGAAUCAGGACUGUUACUUUGAAAAAAUUAGAGCGUUUAAAGCAGGCUCGCGCUUGAAUACAUUAGCAUGGAAUAAUGAAAUAGGACGUUGAUCCUAUUUUGUUGGUUUCUAGGAUUGACGUAAUGAUUAAUAGGGAUAGUUGGGGCAUUAGUAUUCAAUUGUCAGAGGUGAAAUUCUUGGAUUUAUUGAAGACUAACUACUGUGAAAGCAUUUGCCAAGGAUGUUUUCAUUAAUCAAGAACGAAAGUUAGGGGAUCGAAGACGAUCAGAUACCGUCGUAGUCUUAACCAUAAACUAUGCCGACUAGGGAUCGGAUGAUGUUAAUUUUUUAAUGACUCAUUCGGCGCCUUACGGGAAA